rfam:Drosophila sechellia strain Rob3c scaffold_8261 genomic scaffold, whole genome shotgun sequence.
UUCAGAACUGGCGCUGUGGGAUGAACCAAACGUAAUGUUACUGGUGCCCAAAUUAACAACUCAUGCAGAUACCAUGAAAGGCGUUGGUUGCUUAAAACAGCAGGACGGUGAUCAUGGAAGUCGAAAUCCGCUAAGGAGUGUGUAACAACUCACCUGCCGAAGCAACUAGCCCUUAAAAUGGAUGGCGCUUAAGUUGUAUACCUAUACAUUACCGCUAAAGUAGAUGAUUUAUAUUACUUGUGAUAUAAAUUUUGAAACUUUAGUGAGUAGGAAGGUACAAUGGUAUGCGUAGAAGUGUUUGGCGUAAGCCUGCAUGGAGCUGCCAUUGGUACAGAUCUUGGUGGUAGUAGCAAAUAAUCGAAUGAGACCUUGGAGGACUGAAGUGGAGAAGGGUUUCGUGUGAACAGUGGUUGAUCACGAGUUAGUCGGUCCUAAGUUCAAGGCGAAAGCCGAAAAUUUUCAAGUAAAACAAAAAUGCCUAACUAUAUAAACAAAGCGAAUAUAAUACACUUGAAUAAUUUUGAACGAAAGGGAAUACGGUUCCAAUUCCGUAACCUGUUGAGUAUCCGUUUGUUAUUAAAUAUGGGCCUCGUGCUCAUCCUGGCAACAGGAACGACCAUAAAGAAGCCGUCGAGAGAUAUCGGAAGAGUUUUCUUUUCUGUUUUAUAGCCGUACUACCAUGGAAGUCUUUCGCAGAGAGAUAUGGUAGAUGGGCUAGAAGAGCAUGACAUAUACUGUUGUGUCGAUAUUUUCUCCUCGGACCUUGAAAUUUAUGGUGGGGACACGCAAACUUCUCAACAGGCCGUACCAAUAUCCGCAGCUGGUCUCCAAGGUGAAGAGUCUCUAGUCGAUAGAAUAAUGUAGGUAAGGGAAGUCGGCAAAUUAGAUCCGUAACUUCGGGAUAAGGAUUGGCUCUGAAGAUUGAGAUAGUCGGGCUUGAUUGGGAAACAAUAACAUGGUUUAUGUGCUCGUUCUGGGUAAAUAGAGUUUCUAGCAUUUAUGUUAGUUACUUGUUCCCCGGAUAGUUUAGUUACGUAGCCAAUUGUGGAACUUUCUUGCUAAAAUUUUUAAGAAUACUAUUUGGGUUAAACCAAUUAGUUCUUAUCAAUUAUAACGAUUAUCAAUUAACAAUCAAUUCAGAACUGGCACGGACUUGGGGAAUCCGACUGUCUAAUUAAAACAAAGCAUUGUGAUGGCCCUAGCGGGUGUUGACACAAUGUGAUUUCUGCCCAGUGCUCUGAAUGUCAAAGUGAAGAAAUUCAAGUAAGCGCGGGUCAACGGCGGGAGUAACUAUGACUCUCUUAAGGUAGCCAAAUGCCUCGUCAUCUAAUUAGUGACGCGCAUGAAUGGAUUAACGAGAUUCCUACUGUCCCUAUCUACUAUCUAGCGAAACCACAGCCAAGGGAACGGGCUUGGAAUAAUUAGCGGGGAAAGAAGACCCUUUUGAGCUUGACUCUAAUCUGGCAGUGUAAGGAGACAUAAGAGGUGUAGAAUAAGUGGGAGAUAUUAGACCUCGGUUUGGUAUCGUCAAUGAAAUACCACUACUCUUAUUGUUUCCUUACUUACUUGAUAAUGGGAACGUGUAUCAUUUCCUAGCCAUUAUACGGA